UACGGGGGGGGGCAAGCGUUUGUUCGGAAUUACUGGGCGUAAAGGGCUCGUAGGCGGCCAACUAAGUCAGACGUGAAAUCCCCAGGCUUAACCUGGGAACUGCGUCUGAUACUGGAUGGCUUGAAUUCGGGAGAGGGAUGCAGAAUUCCAGGUGUAGCGGUGAAAUGCGUAGAUAUCUGGAGGAAUACCGGUGGCGAAGGCGGCCUCCUGGUCCUUAACUGACGCUGAAGCGCGAAAGCAUGGGGAGCGAACGGG
rnacentral:rRNA from 1 species